rnacentral:sRNA from 1 species
GGAAUUUGCCUGAGAUUGCCAGUGACUGGAUAGGCA